rnacentral:rRNA from 1 species
AUUGAACGCUGGCGGCAGGCCUAACACAUGCAAGUCGAACGGUAACAGGAAGAAGCUUGCUUCUUUGCUGACGAGUGGCGGACGGGUGAGUAAUGUCUGGGAAACUGCCUGAUGGAGGGGGAUAACUACUGGAAACGGUAGCUAAUACCGCAUAACGUCGCAAGACCAAAGAGGGGGACCUUCGGGCCUCUUGCCAUCGGUUGUGCCCAGAUGGGAUUAGCUAGUAGGUGGGGUAACGGCUCACCUAGGCGACGAUCCCUAGCUGGUCUGAGAGGAUGACCAGCCACACUGGAACUGAGACACGGUCCAGACGCCUACGGGAGGCAGCAGUGGGGAAUAUUGCACAAUGGGCGAAAGCCUGAUGCAGCCAUGCCGCGUGUAUGAAGAAGGCAUUCGGGUUGUAAAGUACUUUCAGCGGGGAGGAAGGGAGUAAAGUUAAUACCUUUACUCAUUGACGUUACCCGCAGAAGAAGCACAGGCUAACUCCGUG